rnacentral:rRNA from 1 species
AAUGGGUCAGCGACUUAUAUUCUGUAGCAAGGUUAACCGAAUAGGGGAGCCGAAGGGAAACCGAGUCUUAACUGGGCGUUAAGUUGCAGGGUAUAGACCCGAAACCCGGUGAUCUAGCCAUGGGCAGGUUGAAGGUUGGGUAACACUAACUGGAGGACCGAACCGACUAAUGUUGAAAAAUUAGCGGAUGACUUGUGGCUGGGGGUGAAAGGCCAAUCAAACCGGGAGAUAGCUGGUUCUCCCCGAAAGCUAUUUAGGUAGCGCCUCGUGAAUUCAUCUCCGGGGGUAGAGCACUGUUUCGGCAAGGGGGUCAUCCCGACUUACCAACCCGAUGCAAACUGCGAAUACCGGAGAAUGUUAUCACGGGAGACACACGGCGGGUGCUAACGUCCGUCGUGAAGAGGGAAACAACCCAGACCGCCAGCUAAGGUCCCAAAGUCAUGGUUAAGUGGGAAACGAUGUGGGAAGGCCCAGACAGCCAGGAUGUUGGCUUAGAAGCAGCCAUCAUUUAAAGAAAGCGUAAUAGCUCACUGGUCGAGUCGGCCUGCGCGGAAGAUGUAACGGGGCUAAACCAUGCACCGAAGCUGCGGCAGCGACGCUGAUGCGUUGUUGGGUAGGGGAGCGUUCUGUAAGCCUGCGAAGGUGUGCUGUGAGGCAUGCUGGAGGUAUCAGAAGUGCGAAUGCUGACAUAAGUAACGAUAAAGCGGGUGAAAAGCCCGCUCGCCGGAAGACCAAGGGUUCCUGUCCAACGUUAAUCGGGGCAGGGUGAGUCGACCCCUAAGGCGAGGCCGAAAGGCGUAGUCGAUGGGAAACAGGUUAAUAUUCCUGUACUUGGUGUUACUGCGAAGGGGGGACGGAGAAGGCUAUGUUGGCCGGGCGACGGUUGUCCCGGUUUAAGCGUGUAGGCUGGUUUUCCAGGCAAAUCCGGAAAAUCAAGGCUGAGGCGUGAUGACGAGGCACUACGGUGCUGAAGCAACAAAUGCCCUGCUUCCAGGAAAAGCCUCUAAGCAUCAGGUAACAUCAAAUCGUACCCCAAACCGACACAGGUGGUCAGGUAGAGAAUACCAAGGCGCUUGAGAGAACUCGGGUGAAGGAACUAGGCAAAAUGGUGCCGUAACUUCGGGAGAAGGCACGCUGAUAUGUAGGUGAAGCGACUUGCUCGUGGAGCUGAAAUCAGUCGAAGAUACCAGCUGGCUGCAACUGUUUAUUAAAAACACAGCACUGUGCAAACACGAAAGUGGACGUAUACGGUGUGACGCCUGCCCGGUGCCGGAAGGUUAAUUGAUGGGGUUAGCGCAAGCGAAGCUCUUGAUCGAAGCCCCGGUAAACGGCGGCCGUAACUAUAACGGUCCUAAGGUAGCGAAAUUCCUUGUCGGGUAAGUUCCGACCUGCACGAAUGGCGUAAUGAUGGCCAGGCUGUCUCCACCCGAGACUCAGUGAAAUUGAACUCGCUGUGAAGAUGCAGUGUACCCGCGGCAAGACGGAAAGACCCCGUGAACCUUUACUAUAGCUUGACACUGAACAUUGAGCCUUGAUGUGUAGGAUAGGUGGGAGGCUUUGAAGUGUGGACGCCAGUCUGCAUGGAGCCGACCUUGAAAUACCACCCUUUAAUGUUUGAUGUUCUAACGU